GCUAUCUCAAACAUUCAUUCAUCCAGAGAUGAUACUUGAGAGAUCUAACAAUGGCAUGGUACAGUGGAACCCUAAGCUCUAUCACCAUUCUGUCUCUAGUAUUCCUUAAAGCAAGGAAUGGGAUGACAAGCAAGUUGUGAAACCUCAACUAUCUACAGUUUAACACCAAGGAAAGAACACUGUUUAAAGAGAUGGGGAAGAUUAUCAUCAGUGUCUUUCAGAAGUCAUCAGAGGAAGUAAAGGAGAAAAAAGAGGAGAAAGCAGAAAGGGAGGCCCAAUAUCCCUGAGUUGGAAGCUCUUUGUGGACUAACAUCUUAAUUUUCUAAUGUAGAAUUUCAAACUGAUUGGAUUGGUAAGGGUUAUUUACUAAGCUGAUUGAUUUUUAAAUAGAUACUAAUAUUUUGAUAAUUU
rnacentral:lncRNA from 1 species